rnacentral:rRNA from 1 species
UACGGAGGGUGCAAGCGUUAUCCGGAUUUACUGGGCUUAAAGGGUGCGUAGGCGGGUCUGUAAGUCAGUGGUGAAAUCUCCGAGCUUAACUCGGAAACUGCCAUUGAUACUAUAGAUCUUGAAUUAUCUGGAGGUAAGCGGAAUAUGUCAUGUAGCGGUGAAAUGCUUAGAUAUGAGAUAGAACACCAAUUGCGAAGGCAGCUCUCAAAACUGUAACUGACGCUGAGGCACGAAAGCGUGGGGAUCAAACAGG